UACGUAGGUGACCAGCGUUGUCCGGAUUUACUGGGCGUAAAGAGCGCGUAGGCGGUCGUUCAAGUCGAGUGUGAAAGCCCCCGGCUCAACUGGGGAGGGUCAUUCGAUACUGAUCGACUUGAAGGCAGGAGAGGGAAGUGGAAUUCCCGGUGUAGUGGUGAAAUGCGUAGAUAUCGGGAGGAAUACCAGUGGCGAAGGCGGCUUCCUGGCCUGUUCUUGACGCUGAGGCGCGAAAGCUAGGGUAGCAAACGGG
rnacentral:rRNA from 1 species